GAUGAACGCUGGCGGCGUGCCUAACACAUGCAAGUCGAACGAAGCACCUUACCUUAUUCUUCGUGUGAAAGUUUGGUGACUGAGUGUCGGACGGGUGAGUAACGCGUGGGUAACCUGCCCUGUACAGGGGGAUAACAGCUGGAAACGGCUGCUAAUACCGCAUACGCGCACGAGGAGACAUCUCCUUGUGUGAAAAACUCCGGUGGUACAGGAUGGGCCCGCGUCUGAUUAGCUGGUCGGCAGGGUAACGGCAUACCAAGGCAACGAAGAGUAGCCGGGAGGGGAGGAGGACCGGUUACAUUUGAAAUACGGCACAGACCAAAAUGGGAGGGAGGAGAGGGGAAGGGAAUACUGUAGGAGGGAGGAAGACGUAACGAAGCAGCGCGGGGGAAGAGAAGAAUCAGGUCGGUAACCGAAGCCGCAUCAGAAGAGGAGAGAGUGACGGUAACUGACUAAGAAGCUCCGGCUAAAUACGUG
rnacentral:rRNA from 1 species